UUUAUUCUUCCGUCAGCUUCUAGGUGGGAUAGGUCGAGAUUAAAUGAAGCUAGCUUACCUUAGUGGCGUGUUCUGCAUCGAGGUGAGCCUAUUUCAGAACACUAAGCAUGUAGUGGUUAAUAGGGAGUUUGCUAAGGACGAGAGUUCAAUUCUCUCCACCUCCAA
rnacentral:tmRNA from 1 species